UACGUAGGGUGCAAGCGUUGUCCGGAAUCAUUGGGCGUAAAGAGCGUGUAGGCGGCUCGAUCAGUCCGCUGUAAAAGUCCAGGGCUCAACCCUGGGAUGCCGGUGGAUACUGUCGAGCUAGAGUCCGGAAGAGGCGAGUGGAAUUCCUGGUGUAGCGGUGAAAUGCGCAGAUAUCAGGAGGAACACCGGUGGCGAAGGCGGGUCUCUGGGCAGUAACUGACGCUGAGGAGCGAAAGCGUGGGGAGCGAACAGG
rnacentral:rRNA from 1 species